rnacentral:rRNA from 1 species
GACGGAGGCCCCGAGCGUUAGGCGGAAUCACUGGGCUUAAAGCGUGUGUAGGCGGCUCGUUAAGCGUCUUGUGAAAUCCCACGGCUCACCCGUGGAACCGCUGGGCAUACUGGCGAUCUCGGGCCAUUCAGGGGCGACUGGAACAAGCGGUGGAGCGGUGAAAUGCGUAGAUAUCGCUUGGAACGCCGAAGGUGAAAACAGGUCGCUGGGGAUGUGCCGACGCUGAGACACGAAAGCCAGGGGAGCAAACGGG